rnacentral:rRNA from 1 species
AGCGAACGCUGGCGGCAGGCUUAACACAUGCAAGUCGAGCGCCGUAGCAAUACGGAGCGGCAGACGGGUGAGUAACACGUGGGAACGUACCUUUUGGUUCGGAACAACACAGGGAAACUUGUGCUAAUACCGGAUAAGCCCUUACGGGGAAAGAUUUAUCGCCGAAAGAUCGGCCCGCGUCUGAUUAGCUAGUUGGUGAGGUAACGGCUCACCAAGGCGACGAUCAGUAGCUGGUCUGAGAGGAUGAUCAGCCACACUGGGACUGAGACACGGCCCAGACUCCUACGGGAGGCAGCAGUGGGGAAUAUUGGACAAUGGGCGCAAGCCUGAUCCAGCCAUGCCGCGUGAGUGAUGAAGGCCCUAGGGUUGUAAAGCUCUUUUGUGCGGGAAGAUAAUGACUGUACCGCAAGAAUAAGCCCCGGCUAACUUCGUGCCAGCAGCCGCCGCCG